rnacentral:rRNA from 1 species
GGGUUGUGAGGUUAAGCGACUAAGCGUACACGGUGGAUGCCCUGGCAGUCAGAGGCGAUGAAGGACGUGCUAAUCUGCGAAAAGCGUCGGUAAGGUGAUAUGAACCGUUAUAGCCGGCGAUGUCCGAAUGGGGAAACCCAGUGCAAUUCGUUGCACUAUCGUUAACUGAAUACAUAGGUUAACGAGGCGAACCGGGGGAACUGAAACAUCUAAGUACCCCGAGGAAAAGAAAUCAACCGAGAUUCCCCCAGUAGCGGCGAGCGAACGGGGAGCAGCCCAGAGUCUGAAUCAGCUUGUGUGUUAGUGGAACGGUCUGGAAAGUCCGACGGUACAGGGUGAUAGUCCCGUACACCAAAAUGCACAGGUUGUGAACUCGAAGAGUAGGGCGGGACACGUGGUAUCCUGUCUGAAUAUGGGGGGACCAUCCUCCAAGGCUAAAUACU